CCGGUUCCGGUUCACGCCCAUAAACCCAGGUCUGUUCGGGCGACCCGGCGGCC
rfam:Mycobacterium fallax strain DSM 44179 contig_52, whole genome shotgun sequence.